rnacentral:rRNA from 1 species
GACGAACGCUGGCGGCGUGCUUAACACAUGCAAGUCGAACGGAAAGGCCCAGCUUGCUGGGUACUCGAGUGGCGAACGGGUGAGUAACACGUGGGUGAUCUGCCCCUGACUUUGGGAUAAGCCUGGGAAACUGGGUCUAAUACCGGAUAUGACCUUACAUCGCAUGGUGUUUGGCGGAAAGCUUUUGCGGUUGGGGAUGGGCCCGCGGCCUAUCAGCUUGUUGGUGGGGUAAUGGCCUACCAAGGCGACGACGGGUAGCCGACCUGAGAGGGUGAUCGGCCACACUGGGACUGGGACACGGCCCAGACUCCUACGGGAGGCAGCAGUGGGGAAUAUUGCACAAUGGGCGCAAGCCUGAUGCAGCGACGCCGCGUGGGGGAUGACGGCCUUCGGGUUGUAAACCUCUUUCACCAGGGACGAAGCGUGAGUGACGGUACCUGGAGAAGAAGCACCGGCCAACUACGUG